UUACCACACCUGCAGCAACUGAAAUAAUCAGACAGAAUACAUGAGACAGUGGCUUCCAAGACCCCGACAUCAGGCAAAAUUAAAUGCAGUGAUCCCAGAGAGAAAGGAAACAAGCAAGGAUCCCUUCUCUGGACAUUGAGGCUCCUUGGAGGAGAGCAGGUGUCUGGUCCGCAGGCAGAUGUCUGAUGCGAGGGACCCACGGUAACUCCACCCUGCAGACCGGGCCACAGAGGCAGCUUCUCCGGGGCCGCUUGGCUCUGAGGAGUGGGGUGACCAGAAGAUUCUGGGUCUACUGGAUUUUGAAAAAAGGCAGACAGCAGAGUGAGACGGAGACAGUCUGGAGAGCCAGCCAGCAGAACU
rnacentral:lncRNA from 10 species